rnacentral:rRNA from 1 species
GUAGGUGGCAAGCGUUGUCCGGAAUUAUUGGGCGUAAAGCGCGCGCAGGCGGUUCUUUAAGUCUGAUGUGAAAGCCCACGGCUCAACCGUGGAGGGUCAUUGGAAACUGGAGAACUUGAGUACAGAAGAGGAAAGCGGAAUUCCACGUGUAGCGGUGAAAUGCGUAAGGAUGUGGAGGAACACCAGUGGCGAAGGCGGCUUUCUGGUCUGUAACUGACGCUGAGGCGCGAAAGCGUGGGGAGCAAACAGGGAUUAGAUACCCUGGUAGUCCACGCCGUAAACGAUGAGUGCUAAGUGUUAGGGGGGUUUCCGCCCCCUUAGUGCUGCAGCUAACGCAUUAAGCACUCCGCCUGGGGAGUACGGCCGCAAGGCUG